rnacentral:rRNA from 13 species
UGUGUUAAUGGAAGGCUCUGGAAAGUGCCACGAUACAGGGUGAUAGUCCCGUACAUGAAAACGCAUUUUAAGUGAAAUCGAGUAGGUCGGAGCACGUGAAACUUUGACUGAAUAUAGGUGGACCAUCAUCUAAGGCUAAAUACUCCCAACUGACCGAUAGUGAACCAGUACCGUGAGGGAAAGGCGAAAAGAACCCCUGUGAGGGGAGUGAAA